rnacentral:rRNA from 1 species
AGAGAUGCUUUGGUGCCUUCGGGAACUCUGAGACAGGUGCUGCAUGGCUGUCGUCAGCUCGUGUUGUGAAAUGUUGGGUUUAAGUCCCGCAACGAGCGCAACCCUUAUCCUUUUGUUGCCAGCGGUCCGGCCGGGAACUCAAAGGAGACUGCCAGUGAUAAACUGGAGGAAGGUGGGGAUGACGUCAAGUCAUCAUGGCCCUUACGAGUAGGGCUACACACGUGCUACAAUGGCGCAUACAAAGAGAAGCGACCUCGCGAGAGCAAGCGGACCUCAUAAAGUGCGUCGUAGUCCGGAUUGGAGUCUGCAACUCGACUCCAUGAAGUCGGAAUCGCUAGUAAUCGUAGAUCAGAAUGCUACGGUGAAUACGUUCCCGGGCCUUGUACACACCGCCCGUCACACCAUGGGAGUGGGUUGCAAAAGAAGUAGGUAGCUUAACCUUCGGGAGGGCGCUUACCACUUUGUGAUUCAUGACUGGGGUGAAGUCGUAACAAGGUAGGCGUAGACGU